rnacentral:rRNA from 1 species
CACGGGUGAGUAACGCGUAUCCAACCUUCCCGUUACUGCGGGAUAACCUGCCGAAAGGCAGACUAAUACCGCAUGUUCUUCGAUGACGGCAUCAGAUUCGAAGCAAAGACUCGUCGGUAACGGAGGGGGAUGCGUCUGAUUAGCUAGUUGGCGGGGCGACGGCCCACCAAGGCGACGAUCAGUAGGGGUUCUGAGAGGAUGAACGGCCACAUUGGGACUGAGACACGGCCCAAACUCC